rnacentral:siRNA from 1 species
GACGUUGCCACCUCUACACAAUA